rnacentral:lncRNA from 1 species
GCAGUGGUUCCAAAAAAAUUUUUUUUCCUUUCUUUUCUUUUUCUUUUUCCUUUUCUUUUUCUUUCUUUCUUUCUUUCUUCUUUUUCGUUCUUCUUUCUUUCUCUCUUUUCUUCUUCUCUCCCUUUCCUUUUUAUUCCUUUCUUUUCUUUUCCAACCAAAAGAUCUCAAAUUUCACUGCCACCGUUGCGCUGUUCAACAUGGAUCGUCGGUUCUUGAUUAUCGCUGCUCAUCAAGUGUAAUUCUUCCUCAUCCAUCGUGAGCAACCCGACAUUCUUAGCUGUCGAUCAAAGCCUUCAUCUUUAUCAGUUAUGCCAUCGAGCUCUACAUGUCUUUUGUCUCUCACCUACAGCUAUGCCACAACUCUCAUUAGAUGAUCAGGGAAGUUUCGUUGUCCCUUUUGCUUUGUAUUUUAUUUUUUAUUGCUUACAUUGGAGAUAAUGUAAGAUUUAGGUGUGGGGGGGGAGUAGUAUAUUGAUAAUAUAUUGAGAAAGUGCAAGUGUAGGCAUUUUUGUUGAAAUUUUUUUGUUUGACUCUGUCGAAUUUUGUCCAAUUUUUGCCUAUCUUUAUGCAUACUUGUGGUUAUUUCUUAUAAACGAUGGUUAGACGUCUCAAAAUUUUCUAUUAUUAAGAUUUUACACUCUAAGGUGUUAAGUAUGACAUGAUUAAGUUUAGGAGUAUCUUUUUGGUGAAUAUUUGAGAUUUUGUGACUUUUAUGCUUUGUGGUUAACUUUUUUAAGUAUUAUAAAUAUUUGUCUAGCAUUUUUUUUAUGCAAAUUGGUUCAACUCCUAAUCUUAGUUCUCCAUGUUUUAGAAAUGAAACGGGUCUGUGUAAUUGUUAAUGCUUAUUUAUGAAUAGUAUUUGGCUAUACUCAACUAGUAUCGUUGCCUAGUAGCCGGAGAUCUUCACCAAAAGUGUCGACUUUUACGUCAAAAAGCGACGAUAACUAUGAGUAUGUGAUUUUUAAGCGAUGAUGACUGAGUAACCGGACUCCUUUAUUUGGCCAAUGUCGGAGUUCGCGUCAAAACGCUUAAAUGGCUGAAGACUAAGCAUUCCUCCUGAAAAAAAAAAUCAAUCAAGUGUGAGGAUAUCUUAGAAAAAAAAUGUGCUAAUAGUGAAAAAUGUGGAAGUGUUUUGAAUGAAUUGUUAGCCCACUGAUUGAUGAAUUUUAAUGUUGAGAUUUUGCUUAAUAGUCGAACCAUUUGCUUAUGGAUGCUGGUUGAAUAUUUUAUAUUCUUAGAUUAGUUAGUCAUAAAUUGAAAGAGUCCUUGAUCUGAAAGCUAACUGAAGAGAUAUUUCUUGAAAAUUGCCACUAAUACUUGACAAAUAUUUAAUUGUAUCUUGGCAAUAGAAGAUUUGAAUAAUAGCCAUUGUUGAAUCCGAUUACUUGAUUUGUUGUUCUCAUACUUGAGGAUAAGCAUGAUUCAGGUGUGGGGGAAAUUGAUAGGGUGUGAAAUUGUCAUUUAAUUCAUAAUUAUUUCCUCUUUUAUUUUAGCCAAAUAUUGUGUUAAUUGAUCGAUUCUACUUAUAUUUGAUAUUUGGUGCUAAUUGUAGAAAAAGCAGCAAAACGUGACAAAAAGGGGCAGGCAAUUUUUCAAUUAAUUUGAUGGUGGCACGUUUAGAACCGAAUUCCAAGUCCGAAUCAAAUUCAAGGCAGUAUUGGAGGAAGAUUUUGAAGAUUUUAAUCUUCAUUAUUAGUUUUAGUGUUGGAUUAGGGAACUUAGAAUAUUAUCUUAGUAGUUACCUUUUUCUAUUUAAGAAACAUGCGGUGUUAUUGGUAAUAGAGUCCGAAUAGGAAACAAAAAGAAAAAGCAAAGGACAGACCGUUUGAGGAAGAGUGGGCUUGCAACAUUUACGGAGGGGAGAUUAAUUCAUCAAAGUCCGGCUCCCGUUUGAUUACUACUUUUUUUGGGGAAUAAAAGAGUGAGCCGGCAGACUAGUAGUUGGAUUCUUUUCCUUCUUUUCGGGCACAAGAGACAAUGAGAAACAUUCUGUUCUUCUCCAUGAUGGGGAGCUAAAUUCCCUUUUUCUAGUAGAAGGUUAAUUUGAAGGCGCGGUUCCAAAUAUCUGUGAAAUCGAAUUAAUUUUAUUUAUUUCUUUUAUACGUUUCCUAAUUUAUUCAUUGAUAUUUAUACGUUUCCUGAUUUAAUUGCUUAUGCUUGUUAUAUUAUUUGAAUGUCAAGAGCUCGAUAUUCAAAUUAACCUAAUGAUCUAAUGCCAAAUUAAUUGAUUGAAUCCGUAAUUGUUCAAUUGAUUAAUACUAGUGGCGACUGGCGUAAUUGGUUUCAUAUUAGAAAAACGUAUGAUCUAAUUUAAACAAACCCUCGUAGCGUGUUUGUUGGUUAAUGUUGGAUUUUUCUAAUUAAUAAUGCAAUCGAGAAAUUAAAUCCUACGAUCGUAUUUAGGGUUAUUUUUUGAUUAGGAAAAUAGUUAAUGGUCAUAUCUUGACUAUCGAAAAAGUAAGGAAAGACUGAUUGUUUAUCGCGUGUUUGACAACUAUAACCAAUCUAUUAAUGAGUAAUUGAAUUAUUUUUGCAUCGAUGAUCAGUUGAAUGAACCGUAUCUGAAAAGUUGCACUUUUGCCUAGAGUCGUAUUGGUUAUUGAUUAAUUCUUAUUUAUUUUUAUUAGUUGUUUCAUUUUUUUAGUUAAUUAGUUAUUUUAUAUUCUCCAAAAUCCCCCAUACUUCGGAUUCUGGAAGAAAUAAUUUAUCCUCAGUCCUUGUGGAUUCGAUCUUACUCACCGCUAUAUACAAAAUUUGUAUUUUUCUUAAGUAGAUAAUUAUUAUUGUACAGGCUCAACACCUGUCACAGCCCGAAUGAAUAUGGCUACAAGCUUUCGGUGUCUUCAUUACCUAAACAAGAAGUUUUUUUUUCUUUUCUUUUUAAGGUUGAUAUUAAAAGUAUUAGGCAGAUGCUGAUAACGACUAAUUCGUUAAAAACAAAGAAGUUGUCAAACGACCAGAACAAAUAGGAAUCAUAUAAUGAUUAGAGAACUCUUUGCAACCAUAAAUCCAUGAUACGUCUCGACUGGAUAGGUACGUACCGACGACCCGUGGUUUUGAGAUGGUGUAACUCGUGUUGCUUUACUCGGGAAUUUGACAUUUUUCACCACGUUUUUUUUUUAUUCUAAACGCUUCAUCGUUAUCAUUGCAUUUGGCACACCAGCAAACUAAUGCUGCACUACGAAUUGGAUUUUUGCUCUUAAUUAGCAAAAUCAAACAGACAUCAAACUUUUCAAAUAGUUUAGAAGAAGAGACAAAACUCCAGCUAUUGUUCAUCAAGCUUCGAACUUGUCAUUGAAAAAAGGUAAAUUACCUUUUAUCCCCUAUAAUUUGGUGUUUUAAUACAUAACUCUAUAUGAUUUAAAAAUUUAUAUAUAACCCUCUUAUAUUUUGAGAAAAUGUGUCACUGUUAAUUUUUUCUAUUAAAACUAGCAGUCAAUAGCAAAAAUUCAAAAUCAACUAAUAAAUUGAUGAUAAAUUUAUCCUUUCAUUACUUCUUUUUUCCUCUGUCGCACCCCAUAUUUGAAAAAAAAUAAAAUUUAUUUGUUUAAAAUGAGUUCUAGAGAAUAUUGGUGUAAAAAAAAUAUAUUUUUGAUUAAUUUAGGUUUAAGGAAAAAAUGAGUUUUCGAUUAAUUUUUAUUUGAAAAUUAGUUUUUUAUUCUUAAUGAGUUUUUAAUAAAAUAAAUAAAGAAAAAGGGCCUUAAAUGUAGGAACAUUAGGCUAACCUGUCUUAUCUCUUUUUUUUUUUUUUUUUCUCAAUGAUAGUGCAGUAAAUUUUUUUAAAGCCGCCCGCGAGAAAAAAAAAAAAAGAAGUAAAGGUAAUAAAAAGCUUAUUUAAGAAAAAGGGGAAAAAAAAGAAAAAGGAGCUUGGGGUUUUUUUUUGGCAAGAUGAAAACUGUCCAAAGACUACUAAAAGCCUGGCUCAAUCGCACAAUUGAGAGUUUCAAGGUUUAGAUUACAUAUAUUGGUCAAUUCACACAAAACAUUAUCGUAUGCAAGUUCAAAGUUUUAAUGAAAGCCUUCGGUGUUAAAGUACAAAAAAUUUCUUGAAGCGAGAAGACCAAAUAACAGAAGAAAGAUACCAAGAAGGUCAAAUAACAAUCUUGUUAAAAAUUAUGUAUGUAGGCACCACAAUUCUAAAGGAAAAAAAUUGCACCUAUUAAUCUCCAAAGACUUAAUAAAUUUGAACUCUAUAAACUACAUUCAAGAAGACGUGUGAGACCAAAUUAAAUAAUCAAUAUAUAUAUAUAUAGAGACAGAGAGCAUUUUCAAACUAUUAGACUUCUCUUUUAUCUUCUAGACUUGGGGGGAGUACUCGUACAUCGCGCGAGUGUUUAGUAUCUGUGAUUAGAGAGGAUUUUUCAUUGAACAAAUAAUAAUCGUACAUUUUAGAAAGAAAUAGUCAUCAAAUAUGACAAAACUAAUAAUAAUACAUUCUAAUUACAACACACACUUAUACACUUUAUUUUAUUAAUGCUUUUACAAUUUUACCAUUUUCCAAAGACCCCUAUAGAUGUCAGUUAAAAAUCGCCAAAAAACAGACAUAAGUUGUUUAAGGCAAAGAAACAUCCUCCAACGGUUAGUUAUAGCAACAUGUUAAUUGUACAACGUGUUAAUAUGUUUUUAUAUUAAUUGUAUAACAAAAGACACACUUCAAUUAAACGUGUCUAUAACACCAUUUCAGUAAUUAUACCAACACAUAAGCUUAUAUGAGUUGUACUCGAUGCAAAAAUGAUUGCAAAAUAAUUUCAUAUUCUAAAAAUACCCAGAUAUCUCCAUAAAUCAAAACUUUAAAUUUACCAAAAAUGAAGGCAUUUUGAUAAAUAUAUCUAAACACAUGCUGCCCUUAGUUGUACCAAAAAUUAAAAAAAAAAAACUACACAACAUUCCAUAUUUCCAAAAAAUUCCGAUUAAUGCAGUUGAAAUUCAAACCCCUUUGACCACAAAUCAUUCUUAUAUAGUAUAAGGGCAAGGAAAUGAACUGACAGGUCAUUUUAGUCCAUAUCAUUACUUUCUUUUCUUUUCCAAAAUGCAACAACAAAUUGUAUAAAUGGUUCAAUUUUCAUACUUCUCCUAAAUAGAGCAAUACGAUUGGAUAGUAUAUGUUCUCAAUUGUUUGGCCCUUCAAAUCAUAGACAUUUACUUCAAUUAUUUGCUCUUAUUCGGGUAAUGUAUAGAACAAUUUUGGUUAAUAAUAAAUCCUUCUUUUCUAAUUAAAACUGUUCGAUAGAUUGUGGUCCGCUCCCUACUCCCCGUGAUAUAUUUCAGUACUCUAUUAGCGACUUGGGGCGUAACUCCAUUGGACGGGAAUAAAACAAGAGAUAAUUUCAGAAACAAUUGCAGCCAUUUUUUUCUGAGGUUUAAAAAAUUAAUGAAACCUCCCCUAAAAAUAUGUUUUGGAAACAAUUGAUGAUGUAAGCAAACAAAAAAUUCAAUAAAUAUCCAAUAUUGCCAAAAAAAAUUAUUUUUCUCUCUUAAACUUAUUUUCACUUAAAAUUUGUAAUGUUUGUGAAUAAAAUCAUAGCCUUUUUCAUAGCCAAGGUAAGCGUAAUUCAAACCUUGAAAGAAGUGGCCCCAUUUAUAAAAAAUCUCAAGAGAGGUUUCUAAAAUUAUCCCAUAAAACAAAUAGCAAAAGGUGGUUCGUAGUAGAUGAUGCAUAAUGCAUUGAACCUUAUCGAAACCAUUAAUUUUUAUUCGUGUCUCGAUAAUGUGUAAGGAUCGAAGACAACCUAAGAGAGGGUGAAUUAAGUUGAUUAAAAACCUAAUUAACUUAUGGGCACUUUUUGCUCAAUAUGAAAUUUACCCUUUUUUCUAAGUGAUCACAUAAUGAAUCAAUUAAUGAAUGAACAAGAUCACUUGAGAGAAGUAGAAGAGAUAAGCAAUGUAAAGAUCACAAACGUAACAAUAAGUAAAUAAAAAGGAAAGAAUUGCAAACCAAUUAACUACCCCAACUCCUCUUGAACUUGUAUAUCUUAGAAAAAAAGUGCUAAUAGUGAAAAAUGUGGAAGUGUUUUGAAUGAAUUGUUAGCCCACUGAUUGAUGAAUUUUAAUGUUGAGAUUUUGUUAAUAGUCGAAAUUUGCUUAUGAUGCUGUUGAAUAUUUAUAUUCUUAGAUUAGUAGUCAUAAAUUGAAAGAGUCCUUGAUCUGAAAGCUAACUGAAGAGAUAUUUCUUGAAAAUUGCCACUAAUACUUGACAAUAUUUAAUUGUAUCUUGGCAAUAGCAAGAUUUGAAUAAUAGCCAUUGUUGAAUCCGAUUACUUGAUUUGUGUUCUCAUACUUGAGGAUAAGCAUGAUUCAGGUGUGGGGGAAUUGAUAGGGUUGAAAUUGUCAUUUAAUAUCAUAAUUAUUUCCUCUUUUAUUUUAGCCAAAUAUUGUGUUAAUUGAUCGAUUCUACUUAUAUUUGAUAUUUGGUGCUAAUUGUAGAAAAAGCAGCAAAACGUGACAAAAAGGGGCAGGCAAUUUUUUCAAUUAAUUUGAUGGUGGCACGUUUAGAACCGAAUUCCAAGUCGAAUCAAAUUCAAGGCAGUAUUGGAGGAAGAUUUUGAAGAUUUAAUCUUCAUUAUUAGUUUUAGUGUUGGAUUAGGGAACUUAGAAUAUUAUCUUAGUAGUUACUUUUUCUAUUUAAGAAACAUGCGGUGUUAUUGGUAAUAGAGUCCGAAUAGGAAACAAAAAAAAAGCAAAGGACAGACCGUUUGAGGAAGAGUGGGCUUGCAACAUUUACGGAGGGAGAUUAAUUCAUCAAAGUCCGGCUCCCGUUUGAUUACUACUUUUUUGGGGAAUAAAAGAGUGAGCCGGCAGACUAGUAGUUGGAUUCUUUUCCUUCUUUUCGGGCACAAGAGACAAUGAGAAACAUUCUGUCUCUCCAUGAUGGGAGCUAAAUUCCCUUUUUCUAGUAGAAGGUUAAUUUGAAGGCGCGGUUCCAAAUAUCUGUGAAAUCGAAUUAAUUUUAUUUAUUUCUUU